UACGUAGGGGGCGAGCGUUGUCCGGAUUUAUUGGGCGUAAAGAGCGUGUAGGCGGCCAGGUAGGUCCGUUGUGAAAACUCGAGGCUCAACCUCCAGACGUCGAUGGAAACCGUCUGGCUAGAGUCCGGAAGAGGAGAGUGGAAUUCCUGGUGUAGCGGUGAAAUGCGCAGAUAUCAGGAAGAACACCCGUGGCGAAAGCGGCUCUCUGGGACGGUACUGACGCUGAGACGCGAAAGCGUGGGGAGCGAACAGG
rnacentral:rRNA from 1 species